CUGGGACCGUAUCAAAGGCCUUGUAGAUGUCCAGACUUUAUUUAUCUAUGCUUUAGCUGUGUUGGGAAGGUUUGCCAAAGCAAAGAAAAAUUGCACAAGUCUCCACUGAAAUAAAUAGGAGGCACUACUUUUGGAGAAGCCAAAUUAGGGAUCUGUUGUUUUGUGGAUCACAUGGGGAAUUCCAAACAGAAGCAAUCUUCAUGCUACCUGACACUGUAUGAGCUUAGUCAUCCCCGGCAAAUAACUCGUCUUUGAAAGAAGCUUACAUCUCACCUAAGCUUAUUUAUGCGGGCAAUCUUUCCUCAGUCUAUUUCAGCAUCUCCAUGGAUGAUGAUUAAGUAUGCCAGGAAAUAAGCGUUUUCAACUGAUUUCAGAGAGAGAAAUGUGCUGUGGUGGUUUUCAUGAUUCAAACUCAAAAUCAGGAAGGAAGCAAGACAUGUUCAGCUGUUUUCUGACAAGAAUUUCUUCAGAGCAAGAAAUGUGCUGUGGUGGUUUUCAUGAUUCAAACUCAAUAUCGAGAAGGAAGCAAGACAUGUUCAGCUGUUUCCUGACAAGAAUUUCUAAUCAACCCUUUUUUGUCAUCAAAAGAAGUGUCUCC
rnacentral:lncRNA from 1 species